rnacentral:lncRNA from 1 species
CUGUUUGCCGCUUCAUGUACCUGUGCGCACAUCUCGACGCAUUCACAAUGCACUUAGUUUUGCACGCAUUCAUGGUCAAACGAAGGCAUUUAACUCAUGACCACUACCUUGAGCUAUUGCACAUUGGAAUAGUCUUCCGGAUCACUUUGCAUCCAUCUCUAAUCGCGAAACAUUCGGUGAUAACUUGAAUUCGUUGUGUAAUAAUAUUGUAUAAAGAAGUUGUACUUUGCUUUUUCUGUCAUCUAAUU